CAGUCGCCGCGGUAAUACGUAGGUGGCAAGCGUUGUCCGGAAUUAUUGGGCGUAAAGGGCUCGCAGGCGGUUUCUUAAGUCUGAGGUGAAAGCCCCCGGCUCAACCGGGGAGGGUCAUUGGAAACUGGGAAACUUGAGUGCAGAAGAGGAGAGUGGAAUUCCACGUGUAGCGGUGAAAUGCGUAGAGAUGUGGAGGAACACCAGUGGCGAAGGCGACUCUCUGGUCUGUAACUGACGCUGAGGAGCGAAAGCGUGGGGAGCGAACAGGAUUAGAUACCCGGGUAGUCCCUGUCUCUUAUAC
rnacentral:rRNA from 1 species